rnacentral:rRNA from 1 species
GCCAGCAGCCAUAUGACCCAACAACUCAACUGGCAAACCACUAAAGCUAAGCAGGUGUGAGCCUGGUCAGUACCUGGAUAGGAGACCUCCUGGGAAAGCUAAGGUUGCUGAUGGAA